CAAUAGCGUAUAUUAAAGUUGUUGCAGUUAAAAAGCUCGUAGUUGGAUUUCUGGUGGGAGUGACCGGUCCGCCUUUGGGUUGUGUACUAGUUGUCGUCUCUCGCCAUCCUUGGGGAGAACGUGCCUGGCAUUAGGUUGUCGGGUUCGGGAACCCCAUCCUUUACUGUGAAAAAAUUAGAGUGUUUAAAGCAGGCUUAUGCCGUUGAAUACAUUAGCAUGGAAUAAUAAGAUAGGACUUUGGUGGUCUAUUUUGUUGGUUUGCACACCAAGGUAAUGAUUAAUAGGGACGGUUGGGGGUAUCCGUAUUUCGUAGUCAAAGGUGAAAUUCUUGGAUUUACGAAAGACGAACUACUGCGAAAGCAUUUACCAAGGAUGUUUUCAUUAA
rnacentral:rRNA from 1 species